UACGUAGGGUGCAAGCGUUAAUCGGAAUUACUGGGCGUAAAGCGUGCGCAGGCGGUUUUGUAAGUUUGUCGUGAAAUCCCCGGGCUCAACCUGGGAAUGGCGAUGAAGACUGCAAGGCUAGAAUCUGGCAGAGGGGGGUAGAAUUCCACGUGUAGCAGUGAAAUGCGUAGAGAUGUGGAGGAACACCGAUGGCGAAGGCAGCCCCCUGGGUCAAGAUUGACGCUACAUGCACGAAAGGCGUGGGGAGCA
rnacentral:rRNA from 1 species